UACGGGGGGGGCAAGCGUUGUUCGGAAUUACUGGGCGUAAAGGGCUCGUAGGCGGCCAACUAAGUCAUACGUGAAAUCCCUCGGCUUAACCGGGGAACUGCGUCUGAUACUGGAUUGGCUUGAGAUUGGGAGAGGGAUGCGGAAUUCCAGGUGUAGCGGUGAAAUGCGUAGAUAUCAGGAGGAACACCAAUAGCGAAGGCAGCUCGCUGGGACGUUACUGACACUGAGGCGCGAAAGCGUGGGGAGCGAACAGG
rnacentral:rRNA from 1 species